GACGAACGCUGGCGGCGUGCUUAACACAUGCAAGUCGAACGGAAAGGCCCUGCUUGCCGGGUGCUCGAGUGGCGAACGGGUGAGUAACACGUGGGUGAUCUGCCCCUUACUUUGGGAUAAGCCUGGGAAACUGGGUCUAAUACUGGAUAGGACCAUGCUGUAGGUGGUGUGGUGGAAAGAUUAGUUUCGGUAAGGGAUGAGCUCGCGGCCUAUCAGCUUGUUGGUGGGGUAAUGGCCUACCAAGGCGUCGACGGGUAGCCGGCCUGAGAGGGUGGACGGCCACAUUGGGACUGAGAUACGGCCCAGACUCCUACGGGAGGCAGCAGUGGGGAAUAUUGCACAAUGGGCGCAAGCCUGAUGCAGCGACGCCGCGUGGGGAUGACGGCCUUCGGGUUGUAAACUCCUUUCAGCCAUGACGAAGCCCUUGUGGUGACGGUAGUGGUAGAAGAAGCACCGGCUAACUACGUG
rnacentral:rRNA from 1 species